rnacentral:rRNA from 1 species
GUAUAGCAUAGCUAAUUGCACCAGAUAAUAACUGAUGCAAUAUCGACUCUGUCGAAUAAAAUUCUAGGUAGAAUUAUGAUAAUGACAUUAUCUGCCUACAUGUCUUGACCAAAUUACGUGCCAGCAGUCGCGGUAAUACGUAGAAGACUAGUGUUAUUCAUCUUUAAUAGGUUUAAAGGGUACCUAGACGGUAAAUCAAGCCUGCGAGGGGACUAGUUUACUAGAGUUACUUGUGAGGGGGUAUUAAAGUACUAAUGGUGUAGAGAUGAAAUUCUGUCAUACCUUUUUUCGGAAGAAAAAUUAUGGCACAGGUAUAGGCGAAAGCAUCCCCUUAUGUGAUAACUGACGUUGAAGGACGAAGGCUUUGUGUCGCGAACAGGAUUAGAUACCCCAGUAGUCAAAGCAGAAAAUGAUGAAUGUCAUAGAUUAGGCAUAUAAUAGUUUAUUCUAUAAAUGAAAGUGUAAGCAUUCCACCUCAAGAGUAAUUUGGCAACAUUGGAACUGAAAUCAUUAGACCGUUUCUGAAACCAGUAGUGAAGUAUGUUGUUUAAUUUGAUAAUCCGCAAAAAACCUUACCACAACUUGAAUAUUUAUGUUUACUUUUUUUUAAUAAAUAUAUUUACAAGCGUUGCACGGCUGUCUUCAGUUAAUGUCGUGAGAUUUUGGUUAGUUCCAUUAAAUUAACGUAAACCCUUGCUUUAUUUUUAUAUAAAGUAGUUCCCCGCUAGAUUGGAUAAGAUAACAGGGA